CUUCUGUUGUCAGAGCUGACAAAGCUACUUCGUUCCGUACACGGACCUGUAACAAUUGUAUCCAUCUGAUAAACCAAGUUUACAAAGAGCAAUUAGUGUGACACACAUUGGUAACUAUAGCCCCUUCUAUGGACCAUAAGACGUUUUGGAAUUUUCAUGUCUUCUUAGUAUCCCUGUAAUGUUAUUGGAAUGAUAUUUGAAAUGGUUGGAUUCUGAAAACCGUUGAUGGAUGUCAUCACGAUUGUAUUGACAGUUGUGAGGAAUUUCCAGUGUGACAGAAAAAAGAAUUACAAAGUGUGGGGAACUUAGAAUGGAUUUAAAAAUGAAAUUGUAGUCUGUAGCAUAGUUGGCUGAUAAUACUGUGACUCUGAUUGUAUAUUCUGAGACGGCAGGUAACGUUAGAGGUAUGAUACAAGACACGAAAAAAAGCAUGAUUUUGGAAUUGUUUUCUUUAAUUUAAUUAUAAUAGUAUAACAUUUUGAGUAGACGUGGCAUUUUCUCUAAAUUAAAUGCUGUGAUGACAUCCUUGUAGUUGAAGUAUACGCGUUUAGAAUGAGUAUAGCGUAUCAACGACUCGUUAUCUAUUGAAAUCUUCUGAUUUCUCCUCGACAAGAUUUAAGUCAUGCACAUCAGUGACUUCACUUCUUGUUCACGAAAUCUUCACCCUUCUGAAUAUUUUUCUUUAGUUCUGGGAUCGCGGCUUCUAGAAGCUUUGAUUCAAAACU